CAAUAGCGUAUAUUAAAGUUGUUGCGGUUAAAAAGCUCGUAGUUGGAUUUCUGCCGAGGACGACCGGUCCGCCCUCUGGGUGUGUAUCUGGUUUGGCCUGGGCAUCUUCUUGGAGAACGUAGCUGCACUUGACUGUGUGGUGCGGUGUCCAGGACUUUUACUUUGAGGAAAUUAGAGUGUUUCAAGCAGGCACACGCCUUGAAUACAUUAGCAUGGAAUAAUAAGAUAGGACCUCGGUUCUAUUUUGUUGGUUUCUAGAGCUGAGGUAAUGAUUAAUAGGGAUAGUUGGGGGCAUUCGUAUUUAACUGUCAGAGGUGGAAUUCUUGGAUUUGUUAAAGACGGACUACUGCGAAAGCAUUUGCCAAGGAUGUUUUCAUUGA
rnacentral:rRNA from 1 species